rnacentral:misc_RNA from 1 species
GAUGAAGAACGUAGCGAAAUGCGAUACUUGGUGUGAAUUGCAGAAUCCCGUGAACCAUCGAGUCUUUGAACGCAAGUUGCGCCCGAAGCCAUUAGGCCGAGGGCACGCCUGCCUGGGCGUCACACGUCGUUGCCCCCCCAUCUACUCCUUCGGGAUUGCGGGGGGCGGAUGAUGGCCUCCCGUGCGCCUCGUCGCGCGGUUGGCAUAAAUGCCAAGUCCUCGGCGACGCACGCCACGACAAUCGGUGGUUGCGAAACCUCGGUUGCCCGUCGUGUGCGGUCGUCGCGCAUCGAGGGCUCGAAAAAAUUGCCGGGCUCCGGCUCGGCUUUCAACGCGACCCCAGGUCAGGCGGGGUUACCCGCUGAAUUUAAGCAUAUCGAUAAGCGGAGGA